GAACCGCCCGGGCUGUCCCAAGGCGGGCAGAGCUGUCCCAAAGCGGGAUGAGUUGUCCCACGGCCGGGAUGUGCAGUGGGCAGAGCUGUCCCAAGGCGGGGUAAGCUGUCCCAAAGCCCGAGGCACGCCCAGCUCACGCUUUCACUGCUCCGCUCUGCAGUUACCGCGAUCCGCAGCUGUUGCCCCUGCUAGACCGGAAUGGCUGCAGUGAUACAAUUCCCUAACGGGGACGCUGUUUCAGAAGAUUUGGAAAACAAAAAUAAGGCUCUUUGUAUCGCCAGAGCAGCUGCCCUGGCGUGCUGCUCCCUCGGCAGCCUCGCGGGAAAUUCAAGGUAGAGAAUGGUCUUUAGAAAAGUUAACUUCCAACCACGGUUUCAAAAUUGCCUGUAAAGAAAAUCCACCUCAGAAAUUGUUGAGCUGCUCUUCAAUUCCCAGCACUGCUCAGGCCUGUGCCUUGCUCACAGCCCAGAAGCUUACAGGUUGUUUCAGAAAAGGCUGCUAAGCCUGUUCAGCCUAAGGAGAGCUGAGAGGGGCCCUCACCCACCCUGGGAUUCUGUGGAAAAUAAACCCUGACAGUUUUCCAUUUGA